CUGGAGCAGCUGUAACUUUUCAUGGGCUCCACAGUUCAGUGAGGGGUGGCAGCAUUCCCAGACAACUCCUGUGUAUUAAUUAUACAUAUAUUUGAGUGCCAAUUGCACCCCAAAUCCAGACUUCCUGGUGCCAGACAACUUGUUCAUUCCCCAAUCAAGUCCACUUUCUCAUGCUUACUCUAUGAAAAGGGCACCCAUGAUAGGGUCGGGGUCCCCCCUCUAGAAUGCAGACCCACACUGGGACCCAAGACCUCCUUACUUGAGAACAGAGAUCUCCCCAGGCUGCCCUCUUGGAAGAACAGAGGGCAGAAGCCUUACUGAGCCAAAUGUCCUGGUAUCUGGAGAAGGGCAAGCGCAACAUCUCAUUUUGAGAGGGGACAAGUGGAGAUAUCCCUGGUUUGGUCAGCUGAACUUGAAGACCAAAGCCAAGAGUAACUCAUUCAAUGCUGGUUACUCAGUGACCCAGGUUCCAAGCAAGUCUCUCACAAAGCUUUAAUGAGUACCUGCCCCUAGAGUAAAGUAAUGAAGACAAUACCAAGUGCUGUAUGGGUCAUGCCUCACUUAACAACAGGGAUAUGAUCUGAGAAAUACAUCUUUAGGCGAUUUUGCCAUUGUAGGGACAUCAUAGAGUACAUUUUCAUAAAUCUAGAUGGUAUGGCCUACCACACACUUAGGCUAUAUGGUCUAGCCUAUUGUUCCUAGGCUCUAAACCUGUGCAGCAUAUUACUACACUGAAUGCUGUAGGCAAUGAUAACAUAACGAAUACCUGCCGGACCCUCGUGGAAUGCCUUGAACCUAUUAUCAGAUGGAGUACUAGUGGCACCUGGGAGAAGUGGGUGAGUAUCAGGUGUGGCUGAAGCCUGCAGAGCUCCUGUGGGGCCACUGAGUGGAAGCACCUGUUCCCAGGCUAAUGAAGCUUUUGCUCAAAGCACUAGUUUGUCUGCCACUGGAUAUUUUAGUCGGUCUACAGAGAAUCAACCCAAGAGUCCUCCGUCCAGUAUAAGAAAAAGAGAGGGAAACAGUGCCCCGUUAGACCAAUGUGUCAAUGGUAGGAUCAGACAUAGAUCCCAAAGGAAGUGAGUCUUGGGUGAAAGCCAAGGCCGUAUGGACCACCCAGUGCCAACUCUGAGGUUCUGAACUUUAUUUUUACUAAGAAAAGGGCAAUUUCCUCACAGCACUAGGCAAAAAUGGAAAGCUAUCCUGGCACACAAGUAUAGAAUGCCACCAGAGACAAGCAGCUGGAAGAAAAAGCCAGGCCACCAGCAACAGAGACAAAGAACUGUGAGCUUGAGAGGCUAUGGCAGAUGGUGAGGGAAGGACAGUGAGGGAGAAAGAGACUCAGAUGCAGCAGAGGCUCAGUGGCUAGACUUAGGACCCAGCCAGGGCUUAUUGCAAAAUAAGCACUUGGUAACUUUUUAUAUCUUUGCCUUGGCAACCAGGAAACUCAAAGUUAAAUUUUAUGCUUCAUUUA
rnacentral:lncRNA from 10 species